GAUGAACGCCGGCGGCGUGCUUAACACAUGCCAGUCGAACGAAGCACUUUAUUUGAUUUCCUUCGGGACUGAUUAUUUUGUGACUGAGUGGCGGACGGGUGAGUAACGCGUGGGUAACCUGCCUUGUACAGGGGGAUAACAGUUGGAAACGGCUGCUAAUACCGCAUAAGCGCACGGCAUCGCAUGAUGCAGUGUGAAAAACUCCGGUGGUAUAAGAUGGACCCGCGUUGGAUUAGCUAGUUGGUGAGGUAACGGCCCACCAAGGCGACGAUCCAUAGCCGACCUGAGAGGGUGACCGGCCACAUUGGGACUGAGACACGGCCCAAACUCCUACGGGAGGCAGCAGUGGGGAAUAUUGCACAAUGGGCGAAAGCCUGAUGCAGCGACGCCGCGUGAGCGAAGAAGUAUUUCGGUAUGUAAAGCUCUAUCAGCAGGGAAGAUAAUGACGGUACCUGACUAAGAAGCACCGGCUAAAUACGUG
rnacentral:rRNA from 1 species